rnacentral:rRNA from 1 species
CCUACGGGAGGCAGCAGUGGGGGAUAUUGCACAAUGGGGGAAACCCUGAUGCAGCGACGCCGCGUGGGCGAAGAAGUAUUUCGGUAUGUAAAGCCCUAUCAGCAGGGAAGAAGAAAUGACGGUACCUGAGUAAGAAGCACCGGCUAAAUACGUGCCAGCAGCCGCGGUAAUACGUAUGGUGCAAGCGUUAUCCGGAUUUACGGGGUGUAAAGGGAGCGCAGGCGGCACGGCAAGCCCGAUGGGAAAGCUCGCGGCCCAACCGCGGGACAGCGUUGGGAACUACCGGGCUGGAGUGCCGGGGAGGUAGGCGGAAUGCGUGGUGUAGCGGUGAAAUGCGUAGAUAUUAGGAGGAACCCCAGUGGCGAAGGCGGCCUACUGGACGGUGACUGACGCUGAGGCUCGAAAGCGUGGGGAGCGAACAGGAUUAGAUACCCGAGUAGUC